rnacentral:rRNA from 1 species
GAUGAACGCUAGCUACAGGCUUAACACAUGCAAGUCGAGGGGAAACGGCAUUAAGUACUUGCACUUUUUGGACGUCGACCGGCGCACGGGUGAGUAACGCGUAUCCAACCUUCCCAUGACUAAGGGAUAACCUGCCGAAAGGCAGACUAAUACCUUAUGGUCUUCACUGACGGCAUCAGAUGUGAAGUAAAGAUUUAUCGGUUAUGGAUGGGGAUGCGUCUGAUUAGUUAGUUGGCGGGGUAACGGCCCACCAAGGCAACGAUCAGUAGGGGUUCUGAGAGGAAGGUCCCCCACAUUGGAACUGAGACACGGUCCAAACUCCUACGGGAGGCAGCAGUGAGGAAUAUUGGUCAAUGGGCGAGAGCCUGAACCAGCCAAGUAGCGUGCAGGAUGACGGCCCUAUGGGUUGUAAACUGCUUUUGUAUGGGGAUAAAGUCAAUCACGUGUGAUUGUUUGCAGGUACCAUACGAAUAAGGACCGGCUAAUUCCGUGCCAGCAGCCGCGGUAAUACGGAAGGUCCGGGCGUUAUCCGGAUUUAUUGGGUUUAAAGGGAGCGUAGGCUGGAGAUUAAGUGUGUUGUGAAAUGUAGACGCUCAACGUCUGACUUGCAGCGCAUACUGGUUUCCUUGAGUACGCACAACGUUGGCGGAAUUCGUCGUGUAGCGGUGAAAUGCUUAGAUAUGACGAAGAACUCCGAUUGCGAAGGCAGCUGACGGGAGCGCAACUGACGCUGAAGCUCGAAGGUGCGGGUAUCGAACAGG